rnacentral:rRNA from 1 species
UACGAAGGGGGCUAGCGUUGCUCGGAAUUACUGGGCGUAAAGGGCGCGUAGGCGGCCUGCUAAGUCGGACGUGAAAUCCCUCGGCUCAACCGAGGAACUGCGUCCGAUACUGGUGGGCUUGAAUCCGGGAGAGGGAUGUGGAAUUCCAGGUGUAGCGGUGAAAUGCGUAGAUAUCUGGAGGAACACCGGUGGCGAAGGCGGCAUCCUGGACCGGUAUUGACGCUGAGGCGCGAAAGCUAGGGGAGCAAACGGG